rnacentral:rRNA from 1 species
GACGAACGCUGGCGGCGUGCUUAACACAUGCAAGUCGAACGGAAAGGCCCUGCUUUUGUGGGGUGCUCGAGUGGCGAACGGGUGAGUAACACGUGAGUAACCUGCCCUUGACUUUGGGAUAACUUCAGGAAACUGGGGCUAAUACCGGAUAGGAGCUCCUGCUGCAUGGUGGGGGUUGGAAAGUUUCGGCGGUUGGGGAUGGACUCGCGGCUUAUCAGCUUGUUGGUGGGGUAGUGGCUUACCAAGGCUUUGACGGGUAGCCGGCCUGAGAGGGUGACCGGCCAAAUGGGGACUGGGAAACGGCCCAGACCCCUACGGGGGGCAGCAGUGGGGAAUUUUGCACAAUGGGCGGAAGCCGGAAGGAGCAACGCCGCGUGGGGGAUGACGGCCUUCGGGUUGUAAACCUCUUUCCCCUGUGACGAAGCGUGAGGGGCGGUAAUGGGGAAAGAAGCACCGGCUAACUACGU